rfam:Stegodyphus mimosarum contig13449, whole genome shotgun sequence.
GCCUUCGUGGUGUAGUGGUCAGCACGCUCGGCGCGUAUUCGAGAGGUCCGUGGUUCGAGUCCCGGUGAGAGCA